rnacentral:rRNA from 1 species
CCUACGGGAGGCAGCAGUGAGGAAUAUUGGUCAAUGGACGAAAGUCUGAACCAGCCAUGCCGCGUGCAGGAAGACGGCUCUCUGAUUUGUAAACUGCUUUUGUACAAGGGAAAACCUGAAUACGUGUAUUCAGCUGCAAGUACUGUACGAAUACAGCUCGGCUAACUCCGUGCCAGCAGCCGCGGUAAUACGGAGGAGCCAAGCGUUGUCCGGAUUUAUUGGGUGUAAAGGGUGAGUAGGCGGUUUGAUAAGUUAGAGGGGAAAUGUCCGGGCUCAACCCGGGAACUGCAUCUGAUACUGGGGAUCUAGAGAGCAGAAGAGGUAGGCGGAAUGCAUGGUGUAGCGGUGAAAUGCGUAGAGAUCAGACAGAACACCGAUUGCGAAGGCAGCUUACCAAUCUAUAUCUGACGUUGAGGCACGAAAGCGUGGGGAGCAAACAGGAUUAGAUACCCUUGUAGUC